rnacentral:rRNA from 1 species
UACAGAGGGGGCAAGCGUUGUUCGGAAUUACUGGGCGUAAAGGGCGCGUAGGCGGCCCGCUAAGUCGAAACGUGAAAUCCCCGAGCUCAACUCGGGAACUGCGUCCGAUACUGGCGGGCUUGAAUCCGGGAGAGGGAUGCGGAGUUCCAGGUGUAGCGGUGAAAUGCGUAGAUAUCUGGAGGAACACCGGUGGCGAAGGCGGCAUCCUGGACCGGCAUUGACGCUGAGGCGCGAAAGCUAGGGGAGCAAACGGG